CUGAGCUGGGGAGGAGGGAGGGAAAGAGAGCACGCUCGCUUUAAAGGAGCCAACUGGACAGGAGCCACUUACACCCGUGUAAGCAGCUCCUCUCCUCUCCCGCUUUGCUCCGUUAAAGCAAGCAGGCUCUCGUUCUCUCCCUCCUCCCCGGCUCAG
rnacentral:miRNA from 1 species